rnacentral:rRNA from 1 species
GAUGAACGCUGGCGGCGUGCCUAAUACAUGCAAGUCGAGCGAACAGAUGAGGAGCUUGCUCCUCUGACGUUAGCGGCGGACGGGUGAGUAACACGUGGAUAACCUACCUAUAAGACUGGGAUAACUUCGGGAAACCGGAGCUAAUACCGGAUAAUAUAUUGAACCGCAUGGUUCAAUAGUGAAAGACGGUUUUGCUGUCACUUAUAGAUGGAUCCGCGCCGCAUUAGCUAGUUGGUAGGGUAACGGCUUACCAAGGCAACGAUGCGUAGGCGACCUGAGAGGGUGAUCGGCCACACUGGAACUGAGACACGGUCCAGACUCCUACGGGAGGCAGCAGUAGGGAAUCUUCCGCAAUGGGCGAAAGCCUGACGGAGCAACGCCGCGUGAGUGAUGAAGGUCUUCGGAUCGUAAAACUCUGUUAUUAGGGAAGAACAAAUGUGUAAGUAACUAUGCACGUCUUGACGGUACCUAAUCAGAAAGCCACGGCUAACUACGUG